rnacentral:rRNA from 1 species
CAGCCGCCGCGGGAAUACAGAGGGUGCGAGCGUUAAUCGGAUUUACUGGGCGUAAAGCGUGCGUAGGCGGCUUUUUAAGUCGGAUGUGAAAUCCCUGAGCUUAACUUAGGAAUUGCAUUCGAUACUGGGAAGCUAGAGUAUGGGAGAGGAUGGUAGAAUUCCAGGUGUAGCGGUGAAAUGCGUAGAGAUCUGGAGGAAUACCGAUGGCGAAGGCAGCCAUCUGGCCUAAUACUGACGCUGAGGUACGAAAGCAUGGGGAGCAAACAGGAUUAGAGACCCCAGUAGUCCCUGUCUCUUAUAC